GUAANGCUGUCNGCUAUGGGAUGGCCCCGCGGUGCAUUAGCUAGUUGGUAAGGUAACGGCUUACCAAGGCGAUGAUGCAUAGCCGAGUUGAGAGACUGAUCGGCCACAUUGGGACUGAGACACGGCCCAAACUCCUACGGGAGGCAGCAGUAGGGAAUCUUCCACAAUGGACGCAAGUCUGAUGGAGCAACGCCGCGUGAGUGAAGAAGGUUUUCGGAUCGUAAAGCUCUGUUGUUGGUGAAGAAGGAUAGAGGUAGU
rnacentral:rRNA from 1 species